rnacentral:rRNA from 1 species
UACAGAGGUCUCAAGCGUUGUUCGGAUUCAUUGGGCGUAAAGGGUGCGUAGGCGGCGGUGUAAGUCGGAUGUGAAAUCCCGAGGCUCAACCUCGGAACUGCAUUCGAUACUGCAUCGCUAAAGUACUGGAGAGGAGAUUGGAAUUUACGGUGUAGCAGUGAAAUGCGUAGAUAUCGUAAGGAAGACCAGUGGCGAAGGCGAAUCUCUGGACAGUUACUGACGCUGAGGCACGAAGGCUAGGGGAGCAAACGGG